rnacentral:rRNA from 1 species
UCAGCCGCCGCGGUAAUACGUAGGGGGCAAGCGUUGUCCGGAAUCAUUGGGCGUAAAGGGCGCGUAGGCGGAUAAUUAAGUCUGGUGUGAAAACUUGGGGCUCAACCCCAAGCCUGCAUCGGAAACUGGUUAUCUUGAGGACAGGAGAGGAAAGUGGAAUUCCACGUGUAGCGGUGAAAUGCGUAGAGAUGUGGAGGAACACCAGUGGCGAAGGCGACUUUCUGGACUGUAACUGACGCUGAGGCGCGAAAGCGUGGGGAGCAAACAGGAUUAGAUACCCUGGUAGUCCACGCCGUAAACGAUGAGUGCUAGGUGUAGAGGGUAUCGACCCCUUCUGUGCCGCAGUUAACACAAUAAGCACUCCGCCUGGGGAGUACGGCCGCAAGGUUGAAACUUAAAGGAAUUGGCGGGGGA